rnacentral:rRNA from 1 species
GUCUUUUUGAUAAUAAUUUAAAGUCUAAUCUGCCCACUGAAUAAAUUUAAAGGGCUGCAGUAUAUUGACUGUACAAAGGUAGCAUAAUCAAUAGUCUUUUAAUUGAAGACUUGUAUGAAUGAUUUGAUGAAAUAUAGACUGUCUCUUUAUUAUAAAUUGAAAUUAAUUUUUUAGUUAAAAAGCUAAAAUAAAUAUAAAAGACGAGAAGACCCUAUAGAGUUUUAUAAUUACUAUUAAUUUUAAUUUUUUAUAAAAUUUUAAAUUAAAAUAAAUUUAAUUAUUUUGUUGGGGUGAUAAAAAAAUUAGAAAAACUUUUUUUAUAGAGUUUACAUUGAUUUAUGAAUAUAUGAUCCAUAAUUUAUGAUUAUAAGAAUAAAUUACCUUAGGGAUAACAGCGUAAUUUUUUUUUUUAGUUCAAAUAAAAAUUAAAGUUUGCGACCUCGAUGUUGGAUUAAGAUAAAAUUUAAAUGCAAAAGUUUAAAAUUUUGAUCUGUUCGAUCAUUAAAAUCUUACA